GCAUUUGUUUUCAGUUAUUUGCGAGCGUUAGUUCCCGAUUUUUCGAUGUAUUUCAAACUUUAUGAACACUAGUUCCUUUUAAGGUUCUUGAUGCCAAUAUCCGUUCAUUAAAAUUGUACUUGAUGACGUGUUCAUUUGCAUUCAGUAUUACUGUUAUUAUCAGUAAGCCAUUUGGUUUACACGCGAGUCUUGUUCAGGGAGUGAUUGCAACAGCCACUUAAUUCCUAGCUCCAACAACAAUUUAUAUAUUUAAUACGAGUCAUCUUUUGAAACUCUUGUCAUCUUUUGAAACUCUUUAUCGGCUUCAGUAUUCCGACAUCCCGUUCCGGUUAUCGAGGCCUCGUGCAGCGCAUAUACGUCAAAC